GACGAACGCUGGCGGCGUGCCUAAUACAUGCAAGUAGAACGCGGAAGAGAGGAGCUUGCUCUUCUUGGAUGAGUUGCGAACGGGUGAGUAACGCGUAGGUAACCUGCCUUGUAGCGGGGGAUAACUAUUGGAAACGAUAGCUAAUACCGCAUAACAAUGGAUGACACAUGUCAUUUAUUUGAAAGGGGCAAUUGCCCCACUACAAGAUGGACCUGCGUUGUAUUAGCUAGUAGGUGAGGUAAUGGCUCACCUAGGCGACGAUACAUAGCCGACCUGAGAGGGUGGUCGGCCACACUGGGACUGAGACACGGCCCAGACUCCUACGGGAGGCAGCAGUAGGGAAUCUUCGGCAAUGGGGGCAACCCUGACCGAACAACGCCGCGUGAGUGAAGGAGGUUUUCGGAUCGUAAAACUCUGUUGUAAGUCAAGAACGGGUGUGAGAGUGGAAAGUUCACACUGUGACGGUAGCUUACCAGAAAGGGACGGCUAACUACGUG
rnacentral:rRNA from 1 species